rnacentral:lncRNA from 1 species
AAUGUUUCACCAUUCUCUGCCUUUUGCUUUAUGGUUUUCUUUUUCUUUUUUAUUUUAUUUUUAGAAUUAAUAAAAGAUAACAGGGUAGUUAUGUUCCAUAAAAAUAUGACCUAUUAUCUUAUUUUGUUUUUAAUUUUAAUUUUUUUAAUAUUAAAAAAUGUGAAUUUACCAUAUUAUCCUCAUUUAAUUAAUAAUUUCAAUUCUUAAUGUUUGAAUUAACAAAGGGCAUUUUCUGGUAUUUUGAAUGUUCCACCAUUCUUUGCCUUUUGCUUUAUAUAUAUAGAUAGAUAGAUAAUCUAAUGUGCCCGUAUUAGAAAAUAAUCUCCAAAAUUAAACUUGAGGAAAAUUUCCAAGCUUUCUUAUUUGGACAAUUACCCUUUUAAAAAAAAAAAAAAAAGAAUGCAUGAUGACCUCUUCUGUUAAUUUUCCUUUUCUGGGAUUUUGCUUAGUGAGAAUUGAUGUGGCAUCUAGAUGUGCGGAUAUGACAAACUAGUUUUUCAUUCUUUGAAUAUAAUAACAUACGUACUGAAAAUAAAUUUGAAGUGACUUUUUCGUUCUCUUCUUUAACAAGCAAUAAUCUCAUGCAAUCAGGCAAGUAGCUAGAGAUCUCAUGCAAUCAGGCAAGCAGGUUGAGAAAUCUAGUAACCACGCAGAUGAAAUGAUUGACCCGAAAUUCGAAACGAGUAACCUAACCAGAUGUCAAUCUAAUUUCCUUAGGUUCCUCCUAAGGAUGGCCAUGCUUUAACUGAUGGCUGGAAACGGAUUGCGCGAAGGAGAAUUUCCAGGCCGGGAUUGUGCAUCUCUGGGCUUACAUAGACGAGAAGGAUGACAUCGGAUUUACUAUGCAUUACAAGUAUAAGAAAUUUGGGAUCCUUAGGUUCCUCCUAAGUUGUUCUUCCUAAGUUUUUCGUGUCAUUAGGGUUUUAUAGUUUCCU